AGAUUGAACGCUGGCGGCAUGCCUAACACAUGCAAGUCGAACGGGAGUAGCAAUACUCUAGUGGCGGACGGGUGAGGAAUACGUAGGAAUUUGCCCUUAAGUGGGGGAUAACCCGGGGAAACCCGGAUUAAUACCGCAUGACCUCGAAAGAGCAAAGUGGGGGAUCGCAAGACCUCACGCUUUUGGAGAAGCCUACGUCGGAUUAGCUAGUUGGUGAGGUAAUGGCUCACCAAGGCGACGAUCCGUAACUGGUCUGAGAGGAUGAUCAGUCACACCGGAACUGAGACACGGUCCGGACUCCUACGGGAGCAGCAGUGGGGAAUAUUGGACAAUGGGCGCAAGCCUGAUCCAGCAAUGCCGCGUGUGUGAAGAAGGCCUUCGGGUUGUAAAGGCUACUUUAAGUUAGGGUAAA
rnacentral:rRNA from 1 species